rnacentral:misc_RNA from 1 species
GAUGAAGAACGCAGCGAAAUGCGAUAAGUAAUGUGAAUUGCAGAAUUCAGUGAAUCGUCGAAUCUUUGAACGCACAUUGCGCCCGCCAGUAUUCUGGCGGGCAUGCCUGUUCGAGCGUCAUUUCAACCCUCAAGACCCCUUCGGGGGACUUGGUGUUGGGGACCGGCACAGGGGCCUGCCUGCUUGUCUUGCAGCGCCCUCGCCGCCCCCGAAAUGAAUUGGCGGCCUCGUCGCGGCCUCCCCUGCGUAGUAGCACAACCUCGCAACGGGAACGUGACGGCGGCCACUGCCGUAAAACAACCCCAAUUUUAUUAGAGUUGACCUCGAAUCAGGUAGGAAUACCCGCUGAACUUAAGCAUAUCAAUAAGCGGAGGA